GAUGAACGCUGGCGGCGUGCCUAACACAUGCAAGUCGAGCGAACAGGCCAGGGGCUUGUUGCUUUGACGUUAGGGGCACAGGGGCGAGUAACACGAGGAUAACCCCCCUAUAAGACUGAGAUAACUAUGAGAAUGCGGAGCUAAUACCGGAUAAUAUAUUGAUCCGCAUGGGUCAAUAGAGAAGGACGGUUUUGCUGUCAGUUAUAGAUGGAGCCGCGCCGCAUUAGCUAGUUGGUAAGGUAACGGCUUACCAAGGCAACGAUGCGUAGCCGACCUGAGAGGGGGGGAGGCCACACUGGAACGGAGCCGCGGUCCAGACUACUACGGGAGGCAGCAGAAGGGAAUCGUCCGCAGUGGGUGGAAGCCUGGCGGAGCAACGCCGCGUGGGGUGUAAAAUGCCUGGGAUCGGAAAACUCUGCUAUUAGUGAAAAACAAAUGUGUAAGUAACUAUGCACUUCUUGACGGUACCUAAUCAAAAAGCCACGGCUAACUACGUG
rnacentral:rRNA from 1 species